GCCUCCGUGGCCUAAUGGAUAAGGCAUCGGUUUCCUAAACCGGGGAUUGUGGUUCGAGUCCCACCGGAGGUG
rnacentral:tRNA from 1 species